rnacentral:rRNA from 1 species
GACGAACGCUGGCGGCGUGCUUAACACAUGCAAGUCGAACGGAGCGAAUGAAAGCUUGCUUUUAUGAGCUUAGUGGCAAACGGGUGAGUAACACGUAGACAACCUGCCGAUCAGAUGGGGACAACAUUCCGAAAGGAAUGCUAAUACCGAAUGGCGUGUAGGGGAGGCAUCUUCCCUACAUGAAAGAUGGCCUCUAUAUAUAAGCUAUCACUGAUCGAUGGGUCUGCGUCUGAUUAGCUAGUAGGUAAGGUAACGGCUUACCUAGGCGACGAUCAGUAGCCGGUCUGAGAGGAUGAACGGCCACAUUGGGACUGAGACACGGCCCAGACUCCUACGGGAGGCAGCAGUGGGGAAUCUUCCGCAAUGGGCGCAAGCCUGACGGAGCAACGCCGCGUGAGUGAAGAAGGUCUUCGGAUCGUAAAGCUCUGUUGAAGGGGACGAACGUAUAUAGUGCGAAUAGUGCUGUGUAAUGACGGUACCUUUGA